UACGAAGGGGGGCUAGCGUUGCUCGGAAUCACUGGGCGUAAAGGGUGCGUAGGCGGGUCUUUAAGUCAGGGGUGAAAUCCUGGAGCUCAACUCCAGAACUGCCUCCGAUACUGGGAGCCUUCGAGUCCGGGAGAGGUGAGUGGAACUGCGAGUGUAGAGGUGAAAUUCGUAGAUAUUCGCAAGAACACCAGUGGCGAAGGCGGCUCACUGGCCCGGUACUGACGCUGAGGUGCGAAAGCGUGGGGAGCAAACAGG
rnacentral:rRNA from 1 species